AAAUUAAUCGCAUCGUUUAACAUAUAUAAAUUAAAUUGUUAAAUUAUUUGAUUAACUUACUAAAAUAUACACAGUCGAUAUAGCUGAGCUCGCUUGUAUCUUCACCUGAUUCUCUGACUCAUUUACAUUUGAUCUUCCAAAAUGAACAAUGUUUAUCAUUUGACAUACGCAACAUAUCUUGAUAAAUUGUUAACUUAGUAAAUAUAUACGUAGAAGAUCUCACGUAUACUUUUACUUUAUUCUUAGAUCUAUUCACUUGUUAGUUCACUUUCCAAAAUCACUUAUACUUCUUCGUAAGCUUAUUAACUAUUUAAAGUACAGAAACUAAGUAACGUAUAUGUAGCAAAUGGCCUAAGAAAUAUCUGGCGUAUCAUAAACAAUAUUGCGGGAAGCCCUAAGUGCCGUUAGGCCAAAAAGGGCCUGGCAGUUCUGCCGGGGAGUCGAGUGGGGAGGAGUCGAGUAGAAGAGUCGUGAGUUGACAGUCGAGUGGGGGGAGUCGAGUUGUGAGGAGUGGAGAGUUGAGUUGCCGAGUUGUUAUGAGUAGUAAACUAUUACAAUAGUUGUGAGUUGUGAAUUAACUAUUUAGUUGUCUUAGUUAUAGCACAUUACUGUAUUUAGUUCACGUUAAGUAACCAUCGUUUCUUGUCUAAUCCAUUGCAAAUAGAUCUAUCGAUCAAUAAACUUAUUAUAUAGGAUAAAUAAAAAAUUCCUAUAUACAGCUUGUAUUCAGUCUUUACUUUCAUUGUUGCAUUUAUUUUCAUAUAUUUUUCCUCGAACGAAGUUCUGCUUUGUUAUUAGAUUUCUUUUUCCUAGCUUUACGUAUCUAGAAAGGAAUUUUUCAAAUUAUCGUAACAUGUUCUGCAGGUAAGAGAGAGCGUUCGAGAUCGCAUUACUAUGGUUUGAUGACCGAUGGAUAUCGGUUUUCUGAACAUACAUAGAGUUGCAGCACAAAGGGAAUGUUACUGGCGAUACCAGAGGAAUAAUAAACGGGAUACGAUUUAGCGAUAACGUUGCCUAGCACCAAAGCUGCUCGCCUCUAAACAUUUUUGAAACAUUAGACGUUUUAAUUUCUCUUUCCUCCUCUUUUUUCGCCUCUUCUCUAUACCAUGUUAAUAAGUAAACGUAUGAAUAAUAAAAAAAGAAUGUUAAUAAGUAAACAUAUGAAUAAUAAAAAAAGAACUACCAUCUCUUAAUUAUAAAGCAAAAAUAAAUGGAGAAUUCAGUAUCUAUCACACUAUAAUAUCCCAGAAUUCGUAACAAUGAUUUACGACAUUUCAAACAAUUUCUAUCAUUAUUUAAUAAUUGUUUACAUGCAAACGUGCAGUUAAUUACUUGUAUCUUAGUUAUAUUACUUAUAACUGUAUUAAAAUGUUCAUUGAAUUUUUCAGAUUUCUACUACUAAAAUAUCACAACAGACAGAAAGAAAAUAUACUUGUAAAUCGGUGUGCAAUCUAGUGAUCUAAUUACAAACUUGAAGCAAUUACUUAUCAAUUACCGAUUGUUCAUAAAAAGGCUAAUUUUCAGGAAGCUGGUUCCAUCAUUCCCCGGGCAGCUUUUUCAACUUCGUUUUCGAGUCAGCUUUUAUCGCGUUUCAACGAGAAACAACGCUACAAUUAGCAGUCGCUAAUUACCAACCGAUUAAUGACAAUACGAGCAAAUAUACAAGCGAAUAUUCGCGUUCACCAAUCGAUCCACGGAUUUAUCUAACACAGAUCUCGAUAUCCAGAAAUUUCGUUCUCACGUUCUUUUGCCUUUUCUGCUUGUCCCUUGCACCUGGCUUCAUCUCCAACGGAAAACAACCGCGGAGUAAUUAAUCGUUAACGAGCAAUAAUUAAUGACAAUAGGAAGUAUUGGUUCACAAGUGUCGUCCUCGAAUAACGAACGAUUGCUAAUUAAUGUUCAGCGUGGAGGAGUAUUGCCAUCAAGUUUCAAGAAGGCUUGUCAGUCUCGUGUGGCAUUUUCGCGGUAAGAGGGUAAUACUGGCGAACAGUUGUUGGAAUUUAGACGAUGAAACGAGCGAUAAUUAUAAACGAAGCAAGUUUCUUCGUAUGAAUAUGGAAUGGAUGUGUUGUAGGCUGUUUUACAUUUGUAGUUUAAUACUUUACCGACCAAUAGCCGAUUAAUCGGUAAUCAAUCGCUUACCGACCGAUAUUAAUGCUCAUUAUUUGAGCAGUAAUUUGUUAUUUAGUAUUAUGGUAUCUUGCUCAGUUGCGUCAGUUGCGUUGCUUUGUAAGCUCUCACAGUUUUAUACCACUUUGAAAAACGUAUCGUUCGCGAAGAGCAAAAAGAAUGGUAUUGGAAAGUCUAAACCGAAACAGAGCCGGCGCUAGGGAGAAUCUGCGCCUGAGAUGCCGGUCGGACGUGCGUAUGUUGUUGAAUCGCCAGCGGUCGGUAAAUUGUUAAGAUUAACUUCGAUUUAAGAUAAUUGAUUGUAUCCAAAAGAUACAAUUUAUGGAUGGAAAAAUGUAUAUACAAAUAAUGUCACAAGGACGCGGUAAAAUAGCUUUUUUAAGUCGUACGUUAAUUAUAAUACUGACUUCGAGGGAGAACAAUUUUCUGAAUACAUAGAAUGUAAUUUGCUAAAUUUCUGUGAACUAACAGGCUUAGAAUUAAUCCAGCGGGAUUGAAGAAAUGAAGGGUAAUGAACUCGAAGUGAACUGAGUCUAUUUGAACAUUAUAACAUGUUGUUUCUACUUUUGUAACGAACUUCUACUUGACAAAGAAUUUCAAGGAAAUUAGUAACGAUGAUUCUAAAAAACAAACUAAAAAUUGUAAUCAAAGGUGUUUCAAACAAAAAUUGCUAGGUGUAAAGAAAUAUUAUCAAAUAGUAUCAAAAUAGUAUCAAAAAGUAUAAAAAAUUUAUCAAAUUAUAACCUAUAAUCAGAGAUGAAAUGCUAUUCUAAAGCAAGGGGAUAAAAAUGACUAUGGAUUCUUUUUAAUUAUUAUUCUCUUUAAUUAUUAUACUCUUAAUUAUUGUUGUGCUGAUUUAUUAAAAACAAUAGAACUCGCUUGGUAUGUAAAAUCUAUCUGCGACAACAUUUGUAAAACAAACAAAACAGAAAAAAACGUUAUCACUGUUAAAGGAGUGAUGUAGCUGCACAUGAGAGUAGAAAAGUCAACGGAAAAUUGGAAUCUGCGAGAGACCCACAUUAUUGUAUUUUUGAUGUAUGAUAUCGUUGAGGUUAAGUGAUAGAGGAACGAGUGGAUGAAGUGGAACAGUAAAGUAUAUUGAAACAAGUAUAGGUAUAAGUAUAGUGUAUGCUGAUGAAGAUCUGCACUCUUAUAGUGUUACAAUACAAUAAAAAGAAGAAUAAGGAGCACGUUCAUAUAUUUAUAGCAAAGGACAUUACCAAAAAGUUAACCUCUGUCACGGAUAUACAAAAGCAAAGAUGUAGAGUUUUUCUUGAAGUAAUUACUUCAACAGAAUACUAACGACUGUUUUGGUUUGCAAGUUCUAGAGGCAAACGAACUCCCAACAGAUUGUUAUUGCCGUUUCUUAUAAUCUUCAGCCGGAGUUACAUAAGAAUAUUAACUUUUUGUACUACCGUCUGUCGAUAUAAAUGGAUGAACGUGCCCCCUAGGAGAUUAUUGUUAUCCUUUAUUCGAUCGGUAUAGUAGCAUUGAGCGAGUGACGAUUAUAACUGGCGUACACUAUCUCUCGUGCUUAUACUUAUUUUUAUACCACUGACUAUUACGAAUUCGUCCAUUCGUUACGUUAUUAAUUAAAUACACCUACACGUUUAAUCCACUUCAAACGAAUUGCAACAUAAAUACAUAUUUUUUUAUAUAGAGCUAAGCUGAAUAGUUUUAAAACAUAGAUAAGCAAAUAGAAAGUAAGGAAAAAGAAAAGGUAAAGCGUUCAACUGUGCAGCAUACGUGCAACUGCCAAAUUGUAAUAUGGGAGAUAUCGUAAAUUAUGAAGAUGAAUGAUGAAGAGUACAUCUACACGUAUAUAGUAUUGAAAUUUCAAAGUGGAGAACAUCGAGGAGUACAAACAUCUUUCUAAGCGAUUUAAGUUAAAUGUUGAUUUAUUCUACGACCGUGGAAAGUCUAUUUCGCAUUUCCAAGAAGCAUCGUGUCUCAGUAGCUCUAUUUCGCGUUGUUCUGUGAUCCGCCUUCUAAAUACUCGUUCGGAGAGAAGGUAAAUUCAUUGUGUCCACUGACUUGAAAAUCCACGCAUUCUCCGCUUUAAAUCUCACGGGAGGAUACGGUAGAACUUAGGUCAGGGUCUCGGUUUACAUAACGCAGGUAAUACGCUACCAUUUCGUUAAAUAAUUUCUUUUCUCAGCGAAUAAGAUCUCGGUAGAAAUACAAGUUGACCUUACGAGUAUUUUUCAAAAAUAUACACCAACAUGCGUUCAUUGUCGUAAGGUAAUGUUUAUAAUUGUGUUAAAAGCUGUAAGAUAUUUAUCUACAAACGUUUCUGGUUUAUUUUAAGAUUAAAAUAAUAAAAUAAAUAUUUAAAAUUUAUUAAUUAAA